UUUUUCUUAUUUAUUUAUAUAUAUACUAAUUUAGAAGUACAUGAUAAACAGUACUUCUUCAUGAUUGGUGGACUUUUUUUUCAUAAAUUUUGCCCAUUGGAAGUGUUGUUAAUAUUCGGUGCUACGUGUUAUUAUAUGCUCCCGCCUCCUAUUUCUUCCGAUUAAUCAUCUGCCAGAUCCUUACUACGUCUUCUUUCCCUUACUACGUCUUCUUACCCUUCUGUUUCCACAGGUGGGAACCGAUUCACUGAAUGAAGCGAAAAAAAUCCCUAAAACCACCCCACUGUCAUUAGAUCAUUUGCUUCUUUCUAUUCCCUAAAGGUUCGCAACCAAAAAAAGCUCUGCUAUCUUCUAUUUCGUUUGGCGACACCUCAAUCUCCCAUGAACAUGCUUCGAGCUCCGUCGUCUCAGGGAUGCUUCACCCGUUACCGUCUUUGUCAGAAGUUGCUCAGAAGUCAAAUACCCAUUCUAUUGUUCGCCGAUUGUCAUCGAUUUCUAUUCACGAUCUCAGGAACACAGCCUCCACUCCGGUGCAGCAAGGCAGCAACGACACAAUCAAUUUUUGGUUUUACUGAUUACAGCGUCGGUUGUUCUUUCUGGUCGAUUUGUUUUUUUUGUCAAUUUUCUCCAAUCCAUCGUCCUUUCAUCUUCAUCUGUUGAAUUUUCCUCUAUUCACUUUAUCUCAUGUGGAGGAUGUGUUUGCUGAAGAAGAAUGGAGCGAUACGUGAUGUCUGCAAUAAGGAAUGAGCCGAUAAGUUCUGCAAAAAACGCCCAAAAUAUUUUCACUGAUCUGAACCACCGAACGUAGGUAAGGUCUCAAACCCUCUAACUUUUUAUUUUUAUGUCGAGCAAUCAGCAACUCAGAACAAUCGAUUUAUCGCCACUAAAUGUGACUGAUUUGUUUUGUAGAAAUCAAAAUCCAUAGACUCAUUCCAUUCACCAAAAAACCAACUUCACCACACCAUCUUCCUCCAAUUUUCAGUUCUCUUCUUUUUGACACCUAUGUCGGUGUUGCUUUUCUAAACUUCUUCUGAUUCCAACCUUCAUCGUGGAUGUCUUAGAAUGUGGGAAAAGGCUAUAAUGGAAUUAUAGAAGACUUUAGAUGAUAAAGAAUUAAAGAUAGACAACUUCAUGCGAUUAGAUUGGAACAUGAAGUGCUACGCGUAAAUUGUAAACUGUAAACUAUAAACAUUUGUUUCCUUUUAUUUUUUUAUUUGUUAUUGUUUAAUUCCAUUGUUAUUAUCUAUUGGUACAGGUAUGGCUAACUUUUGCCAUUCUGGUAAUCUAAGUAUAUCUUUAAUCUUGCACAUAAGGUGUUUGAUGUAUUGCCUAACUAAGUUACCUGUUUAUUAUUUUUAUUUUUUUGGUAACAGGGAUAUUUUUGUGACUUUGCUCAAGUAUACAGGUUCAUUGAUAAAUUGUGAACUGAUAAUUGAUGGUGGUUCGGCAAUGAUCAGGGCUGAUUCCAGAUUUGCCUGGAUUACCAGCCGAAGUGAAGUUUGACCCGAAAGAUAAACAAAUUAUUUUGCAUUUGAAGGCUAAGGUUACCCCAGAGGUUUUACACACUACUUCUUGGACCUUUCCAAUAUUUAGAUCUACAAUUUCCAACGAGGGUAUUUGCGGAAUUGGCGUUAGGGUCAAUAACAGCCAAGGACGAAAUGGUCAUUUUCAAUGGGAGGAGUUUAGCGGAGUUCUUUAGAAGUACAAUUCUGUUACUUGCAACUGACUGCCUCAAUUGCCGAAGAAGAUGUUGAAAAACUUGAUGAUGCAAUUGAAAUCAAGGAAUUUAAUACCAUAUCUAAAAUGAUGAGUCAUAUCAUGGGGCUAACAAUGAGUUACGGGUGUUGACGGCAGUUGAAGUUGGUGUUAAUUUUUGUUCUUAUAUAAAUAUAAGUUACCGUUGAAUUAUUAUCUAAAAUUGGCGUUGAAUACUUUUUUCAUGCAGGCUGGUUUCUUUUUUUGUUUUGUGAUGUGGAAAGUGUUUUGAAUUGCAAUUACUAACAAAUAGCUUUGAUUGAUGUAAAUUUUUUCCUGCUUUGACCCAUGUAAUUUUCUAAUAAAAAGCUCUCUCGGACACAUCAACAAAGUAA